rnacentral:tRNA from 1 species
AACUUGGUAGCCUAGGUGGUAAAAGGCAGCACUUCUAGCAUAGUGCCUUAGCUUUGGCCAAGGUUGUUGGUUCCAAUCCUGCCCAAGUUG